GCCUAACACAUGCAAGUCGAACGAGAGAGAAGGAGCUUGCUUCUUUGAUCGAGUGGCGAACGGGUGAGUAACGCGUGAGGAACCUGCCUCAAAGAGGGGGACAACAGUUGGAAACGACUGCUAAUACCGCAUAAGCCCACGGGUCGGCAUCGACCUGAGGGAAAAGGAGCAAUCCGCUUUGAGAUGGCCUCGCGUCCGAUUAGCUAGUUGGUGAGGUAACGGCCCACCAAGGCAACGAUCGGUAGCCGGACUGAGAGGUUGAACGGCCACAUUGGGACUGAGACACGGCCCAGACUCCUACGGGAGGCAGCAGUGGGGAAUAUUGCACAAUGGGGGAAACCCUGAUGCAGCGACGCCGCGUGGAGGAAGAAGGUCUUCGGAUUGUAAACUCCUGUUGUUGAGGAAGAUAAUGACGGUACUCAACAAGGAAGUGACGGCUAACUACGUGCCAGCAGCCGCGGUAAAACGUAGGUCACAAGCGUUGUCCGGAAUUACUGGGUGUAAAGGGAGCGCAGGCGGGAAGACAAGUUGGAAGUGAAAUCUAUGGGCUCAACCCAUAAAACUGCUUUCAAAACUGUUUUUCUUGAGUAGUGCAGAGGUAGGCGGAAUUCCCGGUGUAGCGGUGGAAUGCGUAGAUAUCGGGAGGAACACCAGUGGCGAAGGCGGCCUACUGGGCACCAACUGACGCUGAGGCUCGAAAGUGUGGGUAGCAAACAGGAUUAGA
rnacentral:rRNA from 1 species